UGGGCCGCCUCCGCCCCGCCCGCGUCAGGCCUCGCGGGCUUCAGUCACAACACUGCCGGUCACCUGGGCGCGCCCGGCCCGGCGCCGGCUGGCGGCGCUAAGGGGGUCGCUGGAAGCGGCUCGGCGGCGUCCGUGGGAGCCAUUCCUUCCGAGGGCCACCGGCGAGGGCUUGAGCGCUGGCUCCCCCUGCUUCCUGAGCCGCGGCGGGAGCGGCCAGACGAGGAGGCACCUCGCUGAGGCCACUGUCCGGGCCAGCGCCGGGGGACAACGCGACGGGAGAUGUGCCUGUCCUUAGCGGCCCAGGCAGCAGCAUGCACCCCGAUGCCACCGACAGCAACGGCGCCGGCGGCCGCCCUGCCACGGACUCUGCGGGCGAGCAGCGGGGUGCCCGGGGCCCGGGCGGCGGGAGCUGGCAGAUGCCGGUGGCUGUGGCCGCACUCGCCGCGGUGGCCCUCUCCUUCCUGGGGCCCGGCUGCUGGGCAGUGGCGGGGGGAACGGGGCCGGGCACCGUCCUGCUGCGGCUCAGCUUGUACCUGAGCUGCGCCGCGGCCGCCUUCCUGCUGGGGACCCUACUCGCCCUCGUCUACCGGAGCCCGCGCGCCCCGCCGCCCGACUUCUCUGCUGCCUGGAGCCGAAGGGCCGCCCGCCGCCCUCUGGGGAGUCCUGUGUGUGGAAACUCACAUGAGACAGUUCAGUCUAGAAGGGUAGUGAUUUCUCAUAAUAUGGACAAAGCUCUGAAAGAAGUGUUUGACUACAGUUACAGAGAUUACAUUCUUUCCUGGUAUGGAAACCUCAGCAGAGAUAACGGACAGCUUUACUACCUGCUCUUGGAAGACUUUUGGGAAAUUGCCAAGCAGCUACACCACAGAAUGAGUCACGUGGAUGUGGUUAAAGUCGUCUGCAAUGAGGUUGUAAGGGCUUUACUCACUCAUUUCUGUGACCUGAAAGCUGCUAAUGCCAGCCAUGAAGAACAGCCAAGGCCUUUUGUGUUGCAUGCAUGCUUGAGGAACUCAGAGGAUGAACUAAGAUUCCUACAAAUAUGUUCUCAAGUUCUGGUGCUUUGUCUCCUCCCUUCAAAGGAUGUGCAGUCUCUCAGCCUACGUAUUAUGCUUGCAGAAAUUCUCACAACAAAAGUCUUGAAGACAGUAGUAGAGUUGCUGAGUAAUCCAGAUUACAUUAACCAAAUGCUGCUUUCCCAGUUGGAGUACAGAGAACAGAUGAAUGAGCAACACAAGAGAGCCUACACCUAUGCCCCUUCUUAUGAAGAGUUCAUCAAACUUAUCAGUGGCAGUUCUGAUGUGGAGUUCUUGAAGCAACUGAGGUAUCAGAUUGUAGUGGAAAUAAUCCAAGCGACUACAAUUAGCAGCUUUCCCCAGUUGAAGAGGCACAAGGGUAAGGAAUCUGCUGCAAUGAAAGCUGACCUCCUGAGGGCCAGGAAUAUGAAAAGGUACAUUAACCAGCUGACUGUGGCAAAGAAGCAGUGUGAGAAGAGAAUCAGAAUCCUGGGAGGUCCUGCCUAUGACCAGCAGGAGGAUGGGGCCUUGGAUGAGAGGGAAGGGCCUCAAAGCCAGAAGAUUCUUCAGUUUGAAGAUAUCUUGGCCAACACUUUGUUUCGAGAGCACUUUAGAAUAUACAUGGAAAGGAUGGACAAGAAAGUGCUGAUUAGUUUUUGGGAAUCUGUGGAACAUUUAAAGAAUGCUAACAAGAAUGAAAUUCCACAAUUAGUUGGUGAAAUUUAUCAAAUUUUCUUUGUGGAAAGCAAAGAAAUAUCUGUGGAAAAAUCACUUUACAAAGAAAUCCAGCAUUGUCUUGUAGGAAAUAAAGACAUUAAGGUGUUCUGCAAAAUCCAGGAAGAUGUAUAUGAGACCCUAAAGGACAGGUAUUACCCUUCCUUUAUUGUCAGCGACCUGUAUGAAAAAUUGAUGAUAAAAGAGGAAGAUAAACGAGACUCACAGUUGAUUUCUAACAAGGAUGAAAUGGGCCCAGGAGGUGAGGCUGAUGGGGAAGCUGGAGUUGAAGGUACCAGUGAGAUUAAUGAACAAGCCAGUUUUGCUGUGAACAAAUUACGAGAACUAAAUGAGAAACUUGAAUACAAAAGGCAAGCUCUAAAUUCUAUUCAAAAUGCACCAAAACCUGACAAGAAGAUUGUUUCCAAGUUGAAGGAUGAAAUACUUCUAAUAGAGAAAGAACGUGCAGACCUUCAGCUGCACAUGGCAAGAACAGACUGGUGGUGUGAGAACCUGGGCAUGUGGAAAGCCUCCAUUACCAGUGGAGAGGUUACGGAAGAGAAUGGUGAGCAAAUGCCUUGUUACUUCGUCAUGGUCAGCCUACAAGAAGUUGGAGGAAUUGAAACUAAGAACUGGACUGUCCCAAGAAGGCUCAGUGAGUUUCAGAAUUUACACCGAAAACUUAGUGAGUGUGUCCCUUCUUUAAAAAAAGUCCAGCUGCCUUCUCUUAGCAAGCUGCCUUUCAAAUCUAUAGAUCACAAGUUUAUGGAAAAGUCAAAGAAUCAAUUAAAUAAGUUUUUACAGAAUCUACUUUCAGAUGAAAGACUCUGUCAGAGUGAAGCACUUUAUGCCUUUUUGAGCCCUUCUCCUGACUACCUCAAGGUUAUUGAUGUGCAGGGGAAAAAAAACACUUUUUCAUUGUCCUCAUUUUUGGAAAAACUUCCUCGUGACUUCUUCUCCCAUCAGGAGGAAGAGCCAGAAGAGGACAGUGACCUGUCAGAUUAUGGUGAUGAUGUGGAUGGGAGGAAAGAUGCCUUGGCUGAACCUUGUUUCAUGUUGAUUGGGGAGAUUUUUGAACUUCGAGGAAUGUUUAAGUGGGUGAGAAGAACAUUAAUUGCUCUUGUUCAGGUCACUUUUGGAAGAACCAUCAACAAACAAAUCCGGGACACAGUGAGUUGGAUUUUCAGUGAGCAAAUGCUAGUUUACUACAUUAAUGUUUUCCGGGAUGCUUUUUGGCCAAAUGGGAAAUUGGCACCACCAACCAGAAUGAGAAGCAAAGCUCAAAGUCAAGAAACAAAGCAGAGAGCGCAGCAAAAGCUACUUGAAAACAUUCCAGGUGAGACCUGGGUUCUUAAAGAGAUAAAAAGGAUACACUUCAGAGCCUUCUUGGACAGCAAAAUGCCCGCCAUGGUAUAAUAAAAAUAUUCAAGGCACUACAAGAAACAAGAGCCAAUAAGCACCUGUUAUAUGUGCUGAUGGAACUGCUGCUAAUUGAGCUGUGUCCUGAGCUGAGAACUCAUUUAGAUCAACUUAAAGCUGGUCAAGUUUGAGCUGCACAAAUAAACCACCAGAGAAAUGUCUGUGUCAUAAUAGACAUGAAACAUUUUCCUCUUUUUCACAGAGGGCUUGACUGAGGACCAUACUGAUUUUCAUUUUAGUUACAUCCCUCUAGUUUUAUGUAAAAUAAGCAGAAUUGAGGGGGAGGGUGACUUGAUGCUAUAGUAGGCAAUAGGGAAAAGAACUUUUGUUUAUUGAUUUUUAUUUAAAUAAUAUAAAUACUUUAAAGUUCAAUAUACUUAUUGAAAUACAAAUAUUAAUAUGUGGUAAGAACCUAGGAAAUAUUUUAAAUAUUUAUGAAAGCAGUUUUGUUGUAAAAUGAAGAACUAUGAAUCUUGUACAGUAAUUUCCUCCCUGAGGACUCUGAACAUUCCUAUAUUAUUUCAUGUGUAUUGAAGAACAUUGUUGUGCAAUGCUUUGUGUAAAGUUAUUGUGAAAAUUUUAUUGUCUUUAUUUUUACCAAAGAUUUCCCAUAGUUUGAAGCAUUUGAAGCAAUAAAAUAUAAAAAUGAA